CGAGCAUAUGGGGGUGCAAUGCACAUAUAACAUAAUAUCUUAAUAUCAUCACAGUUCAUAAAAUUAUGCAUGCUGAUAUAAAUGACUAACUUAGCUCGAAUUAAAAUCAUCAUAAUCAUAAGAGAGUAAAAUAUAUUGGGUGAAACAUGUGAGUCAUCAUAAUAAAUCUCAAUUCACUUCCAUCUUGAUUCCAAAUCAUCAAAG
rnacentral:lncRNA from 1 species